rnacentral:rRNA from 1 species
CACGUAGGGCGCAAGCGUUGUCCGGAAUUAUUGGGCGUAAAGAGCUCGUAGGCGGACUGUCACGUCUGCUGUGAAAAGCUGGGGCUUAACCCUGGCCUUGCAGUGGAUACGGGCAGACUAGAGGUAGGUAGGGGAGAAUGGAAUUCCCGGUGUAGCGGUGAAAUGCGCAGAUAUCAGGAAGAACACCCGUGGCGAAGGCGGCUCUCUGGGACGGUACUGACGCUGAGACGCGAAAGCGUGGGGAGCGAACAGG